rnacentral:rRNA from 1 species
AUUGAACGCUGGCGGCAGGCUUUACACAUGCAAGUCGAACGAGUGGCGGACGGGUGAGUAAUGCUUGGGACUCUAGCUUAUGGAUGGGGAUAACUACGGGAAACUGUAGCUAAUACCGCGUACCAUAGGAUGACCCCAAAUGGGAUUAGGUAGUUGGUGAGGUAAAGGCUACCCAAGCCGACGAUCUCUAGCUGGUCUGAGAGGAUGACCAGCAACACUGGGACUGAGACACGGCCCAGACUCCUACGGGAGGCAGCAGUGGGGAAUAUUGCGCAAUGGGGGCAACCUGACGAAGCCAUGCCGAGUGAAUGAAGAAGGCCUUCGGGUUGUAAAGUUCUUUCGGUAGCGAGGCGUUAACUACAGAAGAAGCACCGGCUAACUCCGUGCCAGCAGCCGCGGUAAUUC